GAGCUUGCAAACAUGUGUCGGACGAGCUUUAUCAAUGAAUCCCGCCGGUUGCAGCAUGUAAACUGUUUCUUUCAAAUCUCCAUGUAAAAAUGCGUUACUCACGUUCAUUUGUUUGAUCUCCCACUUCAUUAUUGUCGCAAGAUGAAGGACUAACCAAACCGUAGGUGUCCUUACUACUGGACUGUAAGUCUCAAGGUAAUCAAUCCCUUCUUCUUGAUGAUUUCCUCUUGCAACCAUUCUAGCUCUUCUCUUCUUCAAAACACCAUUCUCAUCCAACUUUGAUUUAUAAAUCCAUCCAUUUCCAAUAACCUUCAUAUCUGAUGUAUAAGGAACCAGCGUCCAAGUAUUCGUUUCAAUGCAGUUGUCGUAUUUUUCUGUCAUAGCUGCAUUCUAGUAUUCAUCUUUUAGAGCAGCCGUGACCGUCUUUGGUUCUGAAUAGGCUACUCUGUUGUUAAACAACACAUAUCUCUGAUUUGGUUUUGUGAUUCCUGAUUUUCCUUUAGUAACCAUUGGAUGAGCAUUUGAAACAGCAGGUACUGAUGCUUGCGGCUGAAUAUUUGUUUCACUUGAAACUUCGUUUUGUGUACCUGCAGAGCCACUUUCUUCAUGAGGUUGAUGUGUGCUCGGUGAAUCUGUGGUUGAAGGUUCUGAUGCCGUGUUCUCUGAAUUAGUAGGUUAAACCACAGGUGAGGGAGAUUGAGAAAUAGUAGGCAUCGUUGGAGGAGGAACUGCUCUCGUUGAAAUUGAUGUUUGUGUUUGUCGUCUCUUUGGCUCAGACACUUGCUUUGAUGUUGGUUCAACUGUGGUUGCAGGUGUCGGUUGUGUCUGUUGUAUACUCCGGAACCAGGCUUCAUACAGAGGAGUUUUUGAAUGUUGGUGAACCUUCGCAUAGGUGUCAGAGAAAGGAUAUGUGUGUUCAUCAAACAGAACAUGUCGGCUUAUGUAUACACGACCAGUAGUGGGAAAAAGACAGCGAAAACCUUUGUAAUUCUCACUAUAUCCCAAGAACACACAUUUCAACGACCGUGGAUCAAAUUUGUGUGCCGCAUAGUCUCUUAAGGUGGGGUAGCAAGCACACCCAAAACUUUGCAACUCUGAGUACACUGGUACUUUGUUCAGUAGUUUCUCAAAUGGGGACAUCUUAUUGUCCAAAGCUGACGAUGGGAGAAGAUUAAUCAGAUAAUUAGCGGUAGAAAAAGCUUCAACCCAAAACUUUUGUGGCAUCACACUGUGGAACAUCAUCGAUAAACCAAGCUCCACGAUGUGUCUGUACUUCCUCUCUGCCAUGCCGUUUUGUUGAGGUGUGUGUGGGCAAGAGAUGAAGUGUUUGAUUCCAUGAGAUUGCAGGUGUUGUCGCAGCAGAUUACUUGUGAACUCACCACCCCCAUCACUCUGAAACACACUGAUCUUGCAUCCAAAUUGAUUCUCAACUCGAACUUGAAAGAUUUUAAAUACUGACACUACAAGAAAUAUGAGUAUCAGUAGCAGUUCGCGGUAGCACGAUUUCACAAACUGCUACCAAAAGUGUUAAAAUCGGAUCACAACUCUAUUGUAGCAUUAAAAUCGCGCUAAUAAAAAAUUUCAUUAAGCGGGAACAUGAAAACCAAUACUUUAGUUGAAAAGUGAUUUUAGAGUAAAACACUUGGCCAAUUUUCAGCUUUUUUUUUUUUUUGUUCUCACUCACGACACAAAUUUUUUUUUUUUUUACUUGAAUCGAUCUACCUUCUUCUUCCAUCUGCUUCAGUUGUAAACCUCAGACUAGUUUUUGUAAAAGAUGAACGAACUGGGUUCUUCUCUAAUCGAAAACACCAUCGUCACUUUGUUCAAAAUCGAAACUUAGGAACCCUAAUCCGCCUUCUGUAAUUACUCCUCCGCCUUCCUCUGUCGCUCUUCACCACCAUCUUCUCUAGAUUCACACUCUCAUUCUCCCUCCUCCACUGGCUACGACAAUUCGAGCUCGACGAUUGUUCUCAAGAAAGAAGAUGAAUUUGUGUUAUCAUAUCCACUCCUCUGUCCUCAAGCUUCCCCAUUUCUUCACUCCAAAGGUCUCUUCUUUCUCUAUCCCUCUCUUUCGAGCAACCCCUUUACCCUCUGCGCGUGAUUGGUCACCGAUAAACAAUCAAGUUUAACACUUUCGAGUUUUUUUCCAUGUCUCAGAGCUUUAUGGCGUCUCAUCGGCGAGAAUUGAGAGUGUUCACAGUGGCAACAACCACAGAAGAGGCGUCUGGUAACAUAUAAGACAGCUCCAAUAUCUCUACCUGAAGGCUCGUGGAAACAGGUAGAGAGAUCUUCUUGAUUCUCUUAAAAGUUUGAAAGAUUGAAUCUUUCUUGUUUGUUUAGGUAGCUGGUGGAGUUACAGCUGCUGGUAUGUAUGCUGGAUUACGGGCGUCAGGGAAGAAGCCUAAUCUUGCUCUUGUAACCUGUGAUGUCGGUGCUGUAGCUGCAGGUCCAAAUGCUAGCUAUCUUUGUGGUGCUUAAUAUUUAUUCAGUGGCAAAUACGUUUCUGAUUUUAUUUUAUUUUUUUCUGUCAGGGGUGUUUACAAUGAAUGUGGUUGCUGCUCCUGUAGUUUACUGCAAGAAGGUUCUUGGUUCCUCUGAGGUAAGACUCUUUUCUUUUGGCUCAGCUUGAUUGGAGAGAGUCAAGAUUAAAACAAUUGAGUGUUAACCCUCAAAGCAUGAACACAGUCUAUGGCUUAUUUUUUCCAUACACUAACAACUAAAGAUGUGGGCCAAGAGUUUGUAGUGCUUGUACUAAUCAGCACAGUCUGCUACUUCUUAUUCCUUGAACAUUUACUGGUUCGUGACUUGAAAUCAUAAGCUAUCUUAUCGCCAUUUUCAUUCACCUUAGGACGAAGCAGAGGUUUCGGGUUCGUGACUAUGUCUUCUGUCUGAAGUUGAGGCAGCUGCUCCGCAGUUUAAUGGCUAUGUAGGAAUAUACAUAUACUCUUAACAACACUUAUUUCUCAGGCUCUAGAGAGUGUAGAUAAAGCUCUUGUGUCUCGACUAGUAGUAAGAGUAUGUGUAGCAGCUGGAGCAAUGGAGAAAAGCCUGUGCCUCGACAAUAUCUUGGGAUCGGUUGUUGUGUGAGCAAAAGGGCCAAGAGAACGUUUUCAGACCACAUCCUCUCACUGCAGAGCUUGGCCUAUAUACCAAAUCGUAUCAUCACCAGCGGUAAGAGCAGGAGCUCUUACAUUUUCACUCAACAAAAACGUAGGGGUAUCAACCAGGGCGCCAUGAUUGUGUGGGAAGUGAGUUCUUCCUUCUCUCGCUCUCUCUCUCCUUUGUAUUUCUAGCUGUAUAAAGAGAGGCGUUGUGCUUGCGUUUGUUGGAUUUUAUGUCUGAGGAUGUGACCUUUUGUUGUUUAUUCGAUGGUUGCUCCUCUCUGUCAUCUUGUUGCUUGAGUGAUAGAUUAACAAGAUGCUUGUGUCUGGAAGUGAAGAUGAUAAGUGUAAGACUUGAAAAGAUUCUAUGUAAAAUAUAUGUUUUAUAAGUUUAUUGAAUAUAAUUUUGAGCUCAGUUCAUGGACUUGGAUCAAACCAAGGUCAAAAGUGAUGAACUUUUGUUUUAAGGCAAGCGUAAAAUGAAGAAGUAAACAAAAUGUUUAAACCAAAUAUAAUUUUGUAAACCAAUUUUGGAACCGGUUAAAAUUUUGUAAGCACAUUCAGAUUUAUUAAAAAAAAUUUUUUUUUGUUUUUUGUGGUUUUUGAAAAAAAAAGCAAAACCCUAAACCCUAAACAUGUUUUUAAACCCUAAAUAUGAGCUUUAAACUUCAGUCUUUUCAUAAUAUAACUCUAAUCUUAAACUCAAAAUUUAAUUAUUUUAAAAAAUCUUAUGUCAAAUUUAAAAUCUAAAUCUUAAAACCGCAACCUAAAUACAAUACUCUAAACCCCAAAUUCCAACGGUAUAUACAAAGUCAUGAAUAUAAACUAAUAGUCAAUAAUGGUAGUAUUAAUUAGAAGAUUUUAAAAUUUAAGUCGUAAUUUAGUCUUUUUAAUUUUAAUCUAUAAAUUCCAAAACAUAAAUCUUAAACUAAAUUAGAAAUAACAAAACAUAAUUUUUUAAAAAAUUAUAAACUUUAAAUCCUAAACUAUAAGCAGAAACUUUUAAUCUAAAAUCUAUACUUUAAAUGUAAACUCUAAACCUUAAACCCCAAAACUUAAUCCCAAACCCCAAAACUUAAUCCCAAACCUUAUUCUCCAAACUCUAAAUAUACUUCAAACUUAAAACUUUAGAUAAAAACUUUAAACUUUAUAUCAUAAAUCUAAACUUUGAAUCUAAACUAUAUUUUUGGAAACUUAACUAUGAACUUUAGUAUUAAACCCCAAAUCCUAUCCCCUGACCCCCAAACUCUACUCCCAAAACCCAACACCAUAUUCCCAAAAAUUCAACAAACAUCAAAUCUAAAUCUUAAUAACAAACCUUUAUAUACAACUCUAACCCUUAUACUUUCAAAACUCUAAAUCCCUAAAUCAUAAAGAAUUAUAAUAGAAAGUUUAAAUUUAAAUUCAAGUAUAUAUAUAUAUAUUUUUUUUUUGUCACAGAUUCAAGUAUAUUCUAAGACUCAAAUUAUAUACUUAUUCAGAAUAUAACCAUCAAAAACUUGUAAUUAUUCAACAUGUCUAAGCUUUUAUAUACAACUCUAACCCUUAUACUUUCAAAACUCUAAAUCCCUAAAUCAUAAAGAAUUAUAAUAGAAAGUUUAAAUUUAAAUUCAAGUAUAUAUAUAUAUAUAUAUUUUUUUUUUGUCACAGAUUCAAGUAUAUUCUAAGACUCAAAUUAUAUACUUAUUCAGAAUAUAACCAUCAAAAACUUGUAAUUAUUCAACAUGUCUAAGCUUUUAUUUAGAAUCUCGAAAUUUAAAUUGCAAUUUUUAUUACUUUCUAUAGAUUAUGCACUUUAAUAAUAAAACUAAACAACAUGAUAAUCAAAACACAAAAGAAACACUAAAAGUAAGUGUCAAUCCGUAAACUUCUUUCUCAUUGGUCGAGAAGGGCAAGGAUUACCGGUUAUUAUAUCACAGCCGUCUAUCUCACCUCCUUUUACGUUAUUCUUCUUCUUUUCAAUAGCAAUCCUAGUGAUUCUUUUCUAUUGGCUUAUACAAGAAAAUGGGGAUAACUUCUUUUUGUAAUCUUAACCGUUGAUGAAUUUAAUCUAAGGGACAUAAACAUUUGCUUCUUUUUUUUAAUGGGUUUUCUCUCUCUCGAUCUCUGCUCCUCUCAUCUUCUACCGUAAACCUGAAAGAAAAAUCUCUACUCUAAUCAAGAAACCACCUCUGAAUCGUCGAGUUUGAGUCUUACACCGUUUGAAUUCGAACAUUUCUUUGUAAAGUUCCGAGCUUUACUCAUGGCAGCUUAUGCUCGUACCUUUGCCUCGUCGACCCAUCUCCACCAAACCUUCUCGCCGCCGAUACCUCUUCUCCGACGACAUCACAGCGCCAAACCCACUUCCCGAAUCACCUACAAUAAAUUCGUAGCUCCAUCUUUUCUCCUACUCUGGAAUAAACCCUCCAUCUUUUACGAAGGACUCCACUUCUCACCUCGUUGGUUCAUGUCUCGAGCCCAAGAGAAUCUCCAAUCAAAACAGAAUCUGACAUCGACUAAGCCAUCGAGGAUAAGCAGAAGAUGAAGAAGAUGAAGAACAUCAGCAGACAGAGUGAAGAGGCGGAAGCAGAAGAAUAAGCAACGACGGAGUAGUUUCAUAGAUGGAGGUUGUGGCGGCGGAGGAGGCAGAGCGGGGGAGACGUACGGAGGAGGCGGUGCGAAGGAGUUAUAGGGAUAUUUUUGGUUUUUUUUUUGUUAGAUUUAGUUUUUAAACCCGGUUUAGUUUUUGGUACAUUAUAGUGCUUUUUGCAUAUUUCUAGUCUGGUUACGGUUACUAAAAAUUCUAUUUUUUAAUUUUCUUUUUUUUUACAAUAUUUUCCAAUUCUAUAUCCCAUAAAAAAACAAAAUUAGUAAUUCAAACCGAAAAAUGUGUCAAUAUAGAAAAUAUUAGCUAUUCAGUAUUACCUAGAAUAUAAACGUCAUAGCACAAGUAAAACGCGGUAUUAUAAUAUUCAAUGGCACAAAAAAAUUGCUAUUAAAUGUUCAAAAAUCCAAAAAAAACUGAGUUACAAAAAGGUAUUCUAUGACAAAAAACAAAUGUCAUAACAAAAUAUUUUAUGGCACACGAAAAGUGCCACGUAAAAUAUUUAAAUAGUGAAAAUAAAUCGCUAUAAAUAGGUAUAAUAUAACACAGGACCAACGCUAUAAUAUCUAUAUAUUGUUACAGCACGCGAAAAACGCUACGCUAGGGGGGGGGGGGUCUAUUAUAGCUGCGGCUGUCACGGCGUUCUUCGAAACGCUAUGAAAACGAUAUGAUAGCGUUUAUCGGGUGCUAUUAAUACCGAUAUUUCUUGUAGUGUGAGAAGAAAUCAGACUUGUACUUCAAGGGAUAGAACCAUGAAUAUCUUGAGAAAUUAUCUAUAAAUAUUGCAUAGUAUUUGAACCCUUGUACAUACUCGACAGGAGCUGGACCCCAGAGAUCACAAUGAACCCUCUCUAGGGGUCUAGAACUAGAAGAAGGAAAAGGAAGUCUACUGCUUUUGUCAAGUCUACAUGACUCGCAGAACUUAUUUGAGAAACUACUGAUAGUUAUAGCCUUCUGAGAUGAUAAUUGCUAGAGAAUCUGAUAGUGAGCAUGCCCAAGUCUUCUGUGCCACAUCUCAUCGGUUGCUGAGCUUGACCCUGAAGCAUAAAAGGCCUGAAACAUCGGAUUUCCCAGCUUGUACAGUCCACCAUGAUUACUUCCCAGAGUUAGCAACUUCUUGUUGCCUUAUCAUUCACACGCACACCAUCACAGUCAAACUCAAAGGAGCAAGGAUAGUCUUUGGUAAGCUUAGAAACUGAAACAAGCGAUUUAGCAAUGUCUGGGCAAACCAAAAUAUCCUUGAGAGGUAACAUACCUGAGGUAGAUGGUAGGACUGUGCUACCGGUGUGAGUGAUUGGCAAGAACUCCCCAUUACCAACCAAAACCUGAUCAGUUCCACUGUAAGGCUCAGACUGUUGUAGGUGAUGUGGCGAGCUUGUGACGUGAGUUGUUGCCCCUGAGUCUGCAUACCAGCCGUGGUUAUGUUGAUCAGUGAUGUCUGUGAUUCUCAAGGCCGUAAGAGCAGCAGGCAACUCCUCAUGUUGAUAGCUAUUGUUGAAUCUGUGCCAACAUUUGAGAGCAGGAUGACCUGGUUUCCCACAAAUCUGACACACAACUGAGCCCUGACCUCCAUAAGACCCAGA